rnacentral:snRNA from 1 species
GGAUGUGGGGGUGAUCUAGCUGGGACAUCAGUCACCCCACUAAUUGCCAGGGUUGAUUCUGCUGAUCUGGCUGGCUAGGCAGGUGUUCCCUUCCUUCCUCACCGCUCUAUGUGUGUCCCUCCCAAAACUGUGUGUUCACGCUCGGUUGAAGAGGAUGACCUUCCCCGAUAGAGGAGGACCGUUCUUUGGUCAAGGGUGUGUACGAGUAGCUGUGUUCCCCUACCAGAACCUCCAAACAAGCUCUCGAGAUCUGUAAAGAGGCAGUAGGCAGGAUGAAGCUCAUGGGCCAUAGUUUGCCUAGAGAG